rnacentral:rRNA from 1 species
UAGGGAGUCUUCCACAAUGGACGAAAGUACUGAUGGAGCAACGCCGCGUGAGUGAAGAAGGGUUUCGGCUCGUAAAACUCUGUUGUUAAAGAAGAACAUAUCUGAGAGUAACUGUUCAGGUAUUGACGGUAUUUAACCAGAAAGCCACGGCUAACUACGCGCCAG